rnacentral:lncRNA from 14 species
GUUUGUAUGUGUCUGUAUGAGUCUGUAUGUGUCUGUAUGUGUUUGUAUGUGUCUGUAUGUGUCUGUAUGUGUUUGUAUGUGUCUGUAUGUGUCUGUAUGUGUCUGUAUGUGUCUGUAUGGGUCUGUAUGUGUUUGUAUGUGUCUGUAUGAGUCUGUGUCUGUAUGUGUUUGUAUGUGUCUGCAUGAGUCUGUAUGUGUUUGUGUGCAUGUGUCUGUAUGUGUCUGUGUGUGUUUGUGUGUAUGUGUCUGUAUGUGUUUGUAUGUGUCUGUAUGAAUCUCUGUGUGUCUGUAUGAGUCUGUGUGUGUCUGUGCUCUGCCUGUGGCUCCCAUGGGGCUGUGUCGUGGGGCUGCUGCCCCGCUCCAUGUCUCCCCAUCACUCUGUCCCCGGGGCCAGGCUAUGGCAUCGGCCUCCCUCAGAACUCACCGCUCACCUCCAACAUCUCCAAGCUCAUCAGCUGGUACAAGUCCUCCGGGUUCAUCGACCUGCUCCAUGACAAGUGGUACAAGAUGGUGCCAUGCGGGAAGCGCGUCCUUGCCGUCACCGAGACCCUGCAGAUGGGGAUCUACCACUUCUCAGGGCUCUUCGUGCUGCUCUGCAUCGGGCUCAGCACCUCGCUGCUCACCUCCCUGGCUGAACACGUCUUCUACCGCCUCAUCCUGCCCCGCAUCAAGCGCAAGAAGAAGUUCAGUUACUGGCUGCACACGAGCCAGGUGCUGCUGCUCCCCCUUCCCUUGCCCAUCCCUGCUCUGCUCCCUGCCUCACGCAUCCUUUGUUCCCCACAGAAAAUCCACCGGGCUCUGAACACAGAGGAGCAGGAGAGCCGGAAGCUGAGCUUGGAGCAGAGGUAGGGCUGCAGUGGGUGCUGCCCCGCUCCUCCUUUAGAUUGGGAUUGGAUACAGGAACAAUUCCUCAUUUAAAUGGGUGCUGAGGCGCUGGCACAGGGUGCCCAGAGAAGCUGUGGCUGCCCCAUCCCUGGCAGUGCUCAAGGCCAGGUUGGACACAGGGGCUUGGAGCAGCUGCUCCAGUGGAAGGGGUCCCUGCUUUAAGGUCCCUUCCAACCCAAUCCAGGCUGGGAUCCCUGGAUCCUAAAGCUCUCUUCCACCCCGCUUCAUUUUAUGCUUCUAUCCCUCCCC